rnacentral:lncRNA from 12 species
UGGCACCAGUAACCCCCGCGGACUGGCACCAGUAACCCCCGCGGACUGGCACCAGUAACCCCCGCGGACUGGCACCAGUAAUCCCCGCGGACUGGCACCAGUAAUCCCCGCGGACUGGCACCAGUAAACCCCGCGGACUGGCACCAGUAACCCCCGCAGACUGGCACCAGUAACGCCCGCGGACCAGGACCGGCACCGAGCUGGAGCCGGGAGAGGCAGCGGCUGGGAACGGGGACUGGGACCAGUAAGGAAGGCAGAGCAGAUCCCACUGGGAACAGCCACCGGGACCAGUAACGGCCCCGGACUGGGACGAGUAACGCCCCCGCCGGGACCGGCGAUGAGCUGGACCCGGUCAGGGAGAGGUACGGGAAUCAGCAGGGAACAGGGACUGGGACCAGUAGCGCCCCCAGACAGGGACCCGCAGGGAACCGGAACCGGGAGAGGCAUCGGCAGGGAACGGGGACUGGCACCAGUAACAUCCCUGGACUGGCACCAGUAGCACCCCCGCACCGGGGCCGGCAGCCAACGGGAACCGGGAGAGGCAGCGGCAGGGAAUGGGGACUGGGACCAGUAAGGAAAGCAGACUGGAACCAGUGAGGAGUGCAGAGCAAGUCCCACAGGGAACACAGACUGGGACUGGCAGGAAAAUGCCCCCGAGCCCCGUGGGACCCCGGCGCCCCGAGACCCUGGGGGUCGGCAAAGCCAUCGCCGUCCUCACCUCCGGGGGGGACGCGCAGGGUAAGGGGACCCCAAACCCCAAAUCUCCAGGAUGCCAAAUCCCCGCGACUCCAAAACCCCCGGGAUCCAAAACCCCGCCCCAAAGCCCUAGAAAUCCCCCUCAAUUUCUCCCCCCUCUCCCUAAAACUGCCCAAAUCCCCCGGGAUCCUGAAAUCCCUGGGAUCCCAAAACCUCCCUAAAUUCCCCCCCAGAUCCCUACAAGUCCCCGCCAAAUCCCUAAAAUCGCUCCUUCUGGGGUAAAAAUUGGGAUUUUGAUCCCACAGCCGUCGGGGUUUUCCCUGGAUUGGAGUUUUGGGAAUGACCUUGGCGGGAUUUUGGGGGUCGGGCAGAGCUCGGGGGGAGUUUUGCGAUGCCGUGGUGGGGAACAACGGUGACAAAAUUCG